rnacentral:tRNA from 1 species
CGUCAGGUAGCUCAGUGGUCUAGAGCAGUCGCCGGGCAAGAGAAAGACCCGGGUUCGAUUCCCGGCCUAGCGC